GUGAAUCAUCGAAUCUUUGAACGCACAUUGCGCCCUUUGGUAUUCCAAAGGGCAUGCCUGUUCGAGCGUCAUUUGUACCCUCAAGCUUUGCUUGGUGUUGGGGCUCCUCCGCCCUCUGUGGCGGCAGGGCCCUCAAAACCAGUGGCGGGCCCGUCUGGUUGGCUCCGAGCGCAGUACCGAACGCAAGUUCUCUCUCUCGCUCUGCAGCCCCGGUCGGUGCCCAGCCGUCAAGCCGCGCAGGCGGCCCUGCUUGCGGGACCGCCUCGCACUUUUCACAAGGUUGACCUCGGAUCAGGUAGGAUUACCCGCUGAACUUAA
rnacentral:rRNA from 1 species